UACAGAGGUCUCGAGCGUUAGGCGGAAUCACUGGGCUUAAAGCGUGUGUAGGCGGGUCGUUAAGUGCCUUGUGAAAUCCCAUGGCUCAACCAUGGAACUGCUGGGCAUACUGGCGAUCUUGUGCAACCUAGGGGCGAGCGGAACAGAUGGUGGAGCGGUGAAAUGCGUAGAUAUCAUCUGGAACGCCAAUGGUGAAAACAGCUCGCUGGGGGUUUACAGACGCUGAGACACGAAAGCCAGGGGAGCGAACGGG
rnacentral:rRNA from 1 species